rnacentral:rRNA from 1 species
GAUGAACGCUAGCGGGAGGCCUAAUACAUGCAAGUCGGAGCGGUAGAGUGACUUCGGUUGCUUGAGAGCGGCGCACGGGUGAGUAACGCGUACAUGACCUACCUUUAAGACUGGGAUAGCCCUGGGAAACUGGGAUUAAUACCGGAUGUGAUAAUACGUAUAGAGAUGUAUUAUUAAAGUUGAGGCGCUUAGAGAUGGAUGUGCGUCUGAUUAGCUAGUUGGUAGGGUAACGGCCUACCAAGGCGACGAGUCAGUAGGGGCGUGAGACGCGUGGCCCCCCACACGGGUACUGAGACACGGACCCGACUCCUACGGGAGGCAGCAGUAAGGAAUAUUGGUCAAUGGACGGAAGUCUGAACCAGCCAUCCCGCGUGCAGGAUGACUGCCCUAUGGUUGUAAACUGCUUUUAGCAGAGACGAAACGCCUUCAUUUUAUGAGGGUCUGACGGUAUCUGCAGAAUAAGCACGGCUAACUCCGUGCCAGCAGCCGCGGUAA